GUCACCAAAGAGUAUCCAGCGUCAGUCGCGAGCAAUAUCCAGUGAGUAAUGCGUGUGUAAUAGCCGUUCAGAGGGUGUGUGGCUGCGUGGCCCGGCCCUGCACAGCCUCUAAGCGCGGCGGCUCAGGAGUGCCACCAGCAGCUAGGGGGGAAACCCGGGCGGGGACGUAUUUCCCUUCUCUGUACGGGUAUGUGGCGCCCGCUAUUGAACAGGGCAGGUUAGGUUAGGUUAGGUUAGGUUAGGUUAGGUUAGGUUAGGUUAGGUUAGUUUAGGUUAGGUUAGGUUAGGUUAGGUUAGGUUAGGUUAGGUUAGGUUAGGUUAGGUUAGGUUAGGUUAGGUUAGGUUAGGUUAGGUUAGGUUAGGUUAGGUUAGGUUAGGUUAGGUUAGGUUAGGUUAGGUUAGGUUAGGUUAGGUUAGGUUAGGUUAGGUUAGGUUAGGUUAGGUUAGUUAAGUUAGGUUUAGAUAGAGUGACUAAGAGUAAUUUUGAGUGGGAAUCGCACACAUCUAUAUAUGAUAAGACUUUCUUCUUCGAGGUUAUGUGGGUAUUACCAUGGAUAGUUUCAUAGCCUAGUAAUAGUUCGGCGAGGUCUCUGCACCGUGGAUGUGAAAAACCCUCAUGGGAAUCCGACUAAUAUACUUUGCGGACUUUGGAAAUAUUGGUUGUGGGUGCCGGAAACGUCUGAGAAGGUUGCAUCUAUUUCCAUGGGUAGUUUAACGAGCCUAGUGAUAGUUCGGCAAGGCUCUGCAACGUGAAUGUGAAAAAAUCCUAUUGAAAACCCGACUAAUCUCCUUUGUGGCCUUGGAUAUUGUUGUUGUGGGUGCCGAAAACGUCUGAGAAGGUUGUAUCUAUUUCCAUGGGUAGUUUAACGAGCCUAGUGAUAGUUCGGCAAGGCUCUGCAACGUGAAUGUGAACAAAUCCUAUUGAAAACCCGACUAAUCUCCUUUAUGGCCUUGGGUAUAGUUGUUGUGGGUGCCGAAAACGUCUGAAAAUACAGGCUCGGCACCACCACCACCACGCCAUACCCGCUGCUGUUAUUUGCUGUUUGCCGUUCUGUGUCCUUCCCCCGCCGCCCAGACCGCUUCCCAACACAUCCCCGCGCGUGUAAUGGCGAAGUGCUUGCCCGAAACAGCCCCGAACAGCUCCGUUUGUGGCCACUUUGCUGUCUGUUUUGGCAAUAAGCGGCGUCGGGUAAUCACAUACUCGCGUUUUGUGCUCAGAAUGCAAGGAACUUUUCGGGAUUAAUGUUUGGCUCCCCUUCACCCCCCCAACCCCCUGUCACACCCACACCCACACACAUCCACACACACACACGCACACACACCGGGACGCACAGUGAGAAUAGAGCAACACGAGACAUACAGGAAUCUCUCGCUUUUUUUUGUUGUUGUUGUUUUACGGAAAUAGGACACGACCAGGACAGGACCAAACUACUUGAAUGGAAUAUGCAAGACAGGAUUGAUCAAAUUUAAGCGUUUUAUCGAUGCUUAAAAAAAAAAGUAAUCACAAAUAUCUAAGACAAUAUUUCAAUAACUAUAUACACCUUGUGGUCAGUUACACCUUGAAUACAGUGACGAAGAAAAAAAAUAACUCACCUAUAUAUACGUAUGCAAUUAUUUUCACUAGACUAAGAUGUAAAUAAAAAAUAAACAAUACUAAUUACCCAUAUUUUUUUACCCCAUAGAAAACAACUUGAUAAUACUACUUGUUUAUUUACUCUAUUUAUUUACCAUUAGUUUUAUGUCACUAUAAACUCGACCCCUUUAAUUUUGAGAGAGAGAGAG